GACGAACCGUGCGAACGUUGUUCGGAAUCACUGGGCUUAAAGGGCGCGUAGGCGGGCGGUCAAGUCAGAGGUGAAAUCCCACGGCUCAACCGUGGAAGUGCCCCUGAUACUGGCCGUCUCGAGGGAGGUAGGGGCGUGCGGAACUUCCGGUGGAGCGGUGAAAUGCGUAGAUAUCGGAAGGAACACCGGUGGCGAAAGCGGCGCGCUGGACCUCUUCUGACGCUGAGGCACGAAAGCGUGGGUAGCAAACAGGG
rnacentral:rRNA from 1 species